CACCUGCUCACAGCAGCUCCUCAAGGAGGAAACGGAGUCUUGGCAGAGUAAUUAAUUUUUCCAAGAAACCACCGAAGCUGGAGCGCUUGGACACACGGAGACUGCCCGGAAGUUUACCGGAGAUCCUUGUGUCUUUCACGUGCCUCCGUCCUGAUUCCCGAGGAUAGCCACCGCCGCUGUCCGGUGGGAGUCCCUUCCUGCCAGCACCGGCUAGGUAAUCGUGCAAAACGAAAAGGUGGGCCCCAGGUUCAAAAAUAAUGAAGAUUUUCAAGAUGGCACAGCAGACCAGUAGUGGAGCGUGGGGCCCUUCUGAGUGUGGGGGGCUGUGUCGCGGCACGGACCUCAUACCACUAAGGCUAGCUCUGCUUCCUGGUUUGCUUCUUCAGUGCAUUCCCCAAAUAUGUUCAGGUCUUUAACUGUGUACAAAAAGCCAGCCUCGGGGCGCCUGGGUGGCUCAGUGGGUUAAAGCCUCUGCCUUCGGCUUGGGU